rnacentral:lncRNA from 1 species
UCUGAGUUCCAAAGUCACUGCCACCAUUCCUGCAUUCAUCCAUGUCUCCAUCAGCUGAGUUUAGAGUGCUGUUGAGGCUGUAACUACCAUGGCAUCUGACAACGGAAGGGACUAUUUCAAAGAAUACGCUAAAGUGCUAUAGAAGAAAACCCUUAUUGGAAUUCAUAAUGUUACAAAUGAAGGCUAAAUCUAUAGAAGUGCUAACGUGGGCAGAGAAGAAGAGAACAGACUGCAGCUCUUUCUGGAACAUCUUGAACAAAUGCCAUUGCUUAUGUUCUAAUCAUUCACUUCACCAAAAUACCUAACGAUGAAGAAAAGGUUGUGAAGACAUUACUAGUAGUAUCAUAUGGCAAUGUGUGGGUGUGAUUUAUCAAGAAGAAUUUGUAUCACAUAGAUGAUACUUGGCAAACAGCAAAUUAAGUUUGUUUUUCAUAUCUCAGACUGAUGUUACAUGUCAGUAAUUUAAUAAAAGGAUAAUGAGAAUGAUAUUUUUUGACUCA